UGGGCCGUGGUGCAAUGGUAGCACAGCGGACUUUGGAUCCGUAGAUCCUGGUUCGAGUCCAGGCGGCCCAGCCU
rnacentral:tRNA from 1 species